GUCGCCGGUGUGGUAAUCCAACCAAGUACGAGAGGAACCGUUGAGUCAGAUAAUUGGUCAAUGCGCUUGGUCGAGGGGCCAGUGGCGCGAAGCUACCAUCUGUGGGAUAAUGGCUGAACGCCUCUAAGUCAGAAUCCGUGCCAGGUAUCGGGGACGCAGAGAAAGUUUGGGUGGCCUUUGUGUGGCUAGUGAACAAUUUGUUCGCGCGUACAGAGUGGCGGCUGGUGAGGGUGGGCGUAAGAGCGACCACCCUAACGACCGCUUGAUCGUAAGAGAGGCCGGCUGAACGUUGAGAUCCUUUGUAGACGACUUAAAUGGAACGGGGUAUUGUAAGUAGUAGAGUAGCCUUGUUGCUACGAUCUCCUGAGAUUAAGCCUUUGUUCUGUGAUCU
rnacentral:ncRNA from 1 species